GACGAACGCUGGCGGCGCGCCUAACACAUGCAAGUCGAACGGAGAUAAGGAGGAGCUUGCUCCACCUUAUCUGAGUGGCGGACGGGUGAGUAACGCGUGAGUAACCUGCCUUAAAGAGGGGGAUAACGUCUGGAAACGGACGCUAAUACCGCAUGACAUACGGACAUGGCAUCAUGAUCGUAUCAAAGGAGCAAUCCGCUUUAAGAUGGACUCGCGUCCAAUUAGCUAGUUGGCAGGGUGAUAGCCUACCAAGGCGACGAUCGGUAGCCGACCUGAGAGGGUGAUCGGCCACAUUGGAACUGAGAUACGGUCCAA
rnacentral:rRNA from 1 species